UACGUAGGGUGCGAGCGUUGUCCGGAUUUAUUGGGCGUAAAGGGCUCGUAGGCGGCCUGUCGCGUCUGCCGUGAAAGCCCGUGGCUUAACUACGGGUCUGCGGUGGAUACGGGCAGGCUAGAGGCUGGUAGGGGCAAGCGGAAUUCCUGGUGUAGCGGUGAAAUGCGCAGAUAUCAGGAGGAACACCGGUGGCGAAGGCGGGUCUCUGGGCCGAUACUGACGCUGAGGAGCGAAAGCAUGGGUAGCGAACAGG
rnacentral:rRNA from 1 species